rnacentral:tRNA from 2 species
AGAGAGGUGGCCGAGCGGUCGAAGGCGCACGCCUGGAAAGCGUGUAUACGUUUAAGCGUAUCGAGGGUUCGAAUCCCUUCCUCUCUG